GUGGCGGUUGCAAGUGCAGAGCUCGCGGUGACGGAGUUCUUCCGCGGCGAUUUGUCUUCCAGGUGCUCACUAUGGUGGUGUCAUCGGUCUUCAUCUAGGCGAUUGUUGUGGUUGACUCCCUUCUGUAUCUGGUGUCGAGUUGUGUUUGCUGAGGCAUAGCUCGCGGCGGUACAACAACAGAUGGGUAGGAAAAGGAAGUGUUCGUUCAUGAAUGACUUUCCUAGUGAUGCUUCAUGAUGAAUUGUUGUUAUCUGGGAACUCUUCUGCUGCUGAAGAAAAUAAUGAGUCUAGUAAUGAUAGACUGUUUGAUUCAGAUGAUUCUAUGUCUGAUGCUCACCAUUUCGUUAAUGAGGCUUUGUGCAAGCAGUAUAUGAAAUAA